GCUUAACAAGGUCACUCAGCUCUGGGGAGAUUUUUUGAUCUAUGCUCAAACAAAUCCUUUCACCUGCAGUGGCCGGUCAAACCUUGCAAAUGGAGUUAACCAAAUUAGUCACCUGAAAUUCAAGUGCCUGGGUUGUACUUUCUUAGGAUUUAGUUCCUUGUCACUGUCACAACUAGGAAAGACACUUCCUAAUUGAGGAUACUCUUUGUUGUAAGCCCCAGAGGACACCUAUUUAUCUUAUUUAGAUUCAGGCGAUUUGCUGAAGAAAGGGAUUGGUGUCAGCAGAAGGAGCCAACUUUGGAAAAUAAGGAAGAUACUAACAGGUGUUGCUGUUGAACACUACAGCUUCGGCCCAUUAUGAUUCACUCAGUUUAAUGUUUCUACCCAGAAGACCACACAGAAACAAGAAGAGAUGCCAAGAAUGCCUACUCACAGUGAGACAGUGAGGGCAGAUUCUUGAGGGCUUGGCAUCUCCUCAGAAUUUCAAAUUUGGCAGAAACCUCAAGGUGCAUAGGAAAAUCUGACUCCACUUACUUUUUGGCCUGGAAUGAAGGUAGGAUUGGUUUACAUUCUUUCAUUUUGUUUUUUUCUUUACAUUCUCAAGUGAUUUAUUCUGAGGUUGGCCACCAAUAGUUUUCCAAAUAUUUCCUAGAAGUUUUCUUUUUUAUAUAACUAUCAUACUCCUUGACAAAGAUAUAACCUUGACAGAAAAUUGACUUGUUUUUCAGAACAUCAAAAUUCAGUUUAUUACAACCAGUUACAUCAUCUAUAGUUAGUUUACUGACAUUUUCUUAAUUCCUUUUAUUUGCAGAUUUGGUUGUUAAACUGUGAAUGUCUAUGGAAUUUAAGUAUAUCUGCUUAAAAUUCUUGUUAGAUAAAUAAAAGUGGAAUGUAAUCAAU
rnacentral:lncRNA from 1 species